rnacentral:rRNA from 1 species
GGGCCCGCACAAGCGGUGGAGCAUGUGGUUUAAUUCGAUGCAACGCGAAGAACCUUACCUACUCUUGACAUCCAUAGAACUUUCCAGAGAUGGAUUGGUGCCUUCGGGAACUAUGAGACAGGUGCUGCAUGGCUGUCGUCAGCUCGUGUUGUGAAAUGUUGGGUUAAGUCCCGCAACGAGCGCAACCCUUAUCCUUGUUUGCCAGCACUUCGGGUGGGAACUCCAGGGAGACUGCCGGUGAUAAACCGGAGGAAGGUGGGGAUGACGUCAAGUCAUCAUGGCCCUUACGAGUAGGGCUACACACGUGCUACAAUGGCGCAUACAGAGGGCGGCCAACUUGCGAAAGUGAGCGAAAUCCCAAAAAGUGCGUCGUAGUCCGGAUUGGAGUCUGCAACUCGACUCCAUGAAGUCGGAAUCGCUAGUAAUCG